GACGAACGCUGGCGGCGUGCUUAACACAUGCAAGUCGUACGGUAAGGCCCUUUCGGGGGUACACGAGUGGCGAACGGGUGAGUAACACGUGAGUAACCUGCCCACAACUUUGGGAUGACGCUAGGAAACUGGUGCUAAUACUGGAUAUGUGCUCCUGCUGCAUGGUGGGGGUUGGAAAGCUCCGGCGGUUGUGGAUGGACUCGCGGCCUAUCAGCUUGUUGGUGGGGUAGUGGCCUACCAAGGCGGCGACGGGUAGCCGGCCUGAGAGGGUGACCGGCCACAAUGGGACUGAGGUACGGCCCAGGCUCCUACGGGGGGCAGCAGUGGGGAAUAUUGCACAAUGGGCGCAAGCCUGAUGCAGCAACGCCGCGUGCGGGAUGACGGGCUUCGGGUUGUAAACCGCUUUCAGCAGGGACGAAGCUUUUUGUGACGGUACCUGCAGAAGAAGCACCGGCUAACUACGUG
rnacentral:rRNA from 1 species